UCUGCCUUGUAGUGGGGGAUAACUUGCCGAAAGGUAAGCUAAUACCGCAUACGCCCUAAGGGGGAAAGCAGGGGACUCUUCGGAGCCUUGCGCUAUUAGAUGAGCCUAGGUCGGAUUAGUUAGUUGGUGGGGUAAUGGCUCACCAAGACCGCGAUCCGUAACUGGUCUGAGAGGAUGAUCAGUCACACUGGAACUGAGACACGGUCCAGACUCCUACGGGAGGCAGCAGUGGGGAAUAUUGGACAAUGGGGGGAACCCUGAUCCAGCCAUGCCGCGUGUGUGAAGAAGGCCUUCGGGUUGUAAAGCACUUUAAUUUGGGAGGAAGGGCUUACGGUUAAUAACCGCUAAGUUUUGACGUUACCAAAAGAAUAAGCACCGGCUAACUUCGUGCCAGCAGCCGCGGUAAUACGAAGGGUGCGAGCGUUAAUCGGAAUUACUGGGCGUAAAGCGCGCGUAGGUGGUUCAUUAAGUUAGGAGUGAAAGCCCCGGGCUCAACCUGGGAAUUGCUUCUAAAACUGGUGAGCUAGAGUACGGUAGAGGGUGGUGGAAUUUCCUGUGUAGCGGUGAAAUGCGUAGAUAUAGGAAGGAACAUCAGUGGCGAAGGCGACCACCUGGACUGAUACUGACACUGAGGUGCGAAAGCGUGGGGAGCAAACAGGAUUAAAUACCCUGGUAGUCCACGCCGUAAACGAUGUCAACUA
rnacentral:rRNA from 1 species